rnacentral:rRNA from 1 species
GACGAACGCUGGCGGCGUGCUUAACACAUGCAAGUCGAACGGAAAGGCCCUGCUUUUGUGGGGUGCUCGAGUGGCGAACGGGUGAGUAACACGUGAGUAACCUGCCCUUGACUUUGGGAUAACUUCAGGAAACUGGGGCUAAUACCGGAUAGGAGCUCCUGCUGCAUGGUGGGGGUUGGAAAGUUUCGGCGGUUGUGGAUGGACUCGCGGCUUAUCAGCUUGUUGGUGGGGUAGUGGCUUACCAAGGCUUUGACGGGUAGCCGGCCUGAGAGGGUGACCGGCCACAAUGGGACUGAGAUACGGCCCAGACUCCUACGGGAGGCAGCAGUGGGGAAUAUUGCACAAUGGGCGGAAGCCUGAUGCAGCAACGCCGCGUGCGGGAUGACGGCCUUCGGGUUGUAAACCGCUUUCGCCUGUGACGAAGCGUGAGUGACGGUAAUGGGUAAAGAAGCACCGGCUAACUACGUG